rnacentral:rRNA from 1 species
AUUGAACGCUGGCGGCAGGCUUAACACAUGCAAGUCGAGCGGGGUGAUGGUGCUUGCACUAUCACUUAGCGGCGGACGGGUGAGUAAUGCUUAGGAAUCUGCCUAUUAGUGGGGGACAACAUCUCGAAAGGGAUGCUAAUACCGCAUACGUCCUACGGGAGAAAGCAGGGGAUCACUUGUGACCUUGCGCUAAUAGAUGAGCCUAAGUCGGAUUAGCUAGUUGGUGGGGUAAAGGCCUACCAAGGCGACGAUCUGUAGCGGGUCUGAGCGGAUGAUCCGCCACACUGGGACUGAGACACUGCCCAGACUCCUACGGGAGGCAGCAGUGGGGAAUAUUGGACAAUGGGGGGAACCCUGAUCCAGCCAUGCCGCGUGUGUGAAGAAGGCCUUAUGGUUGUAAAGCACUUUAAGCGAGGAGGAGGCUCUUUUGGUUAAUACCCAAGAUGAGUGGACGUUACUCGCAGAAUAAGCACCGGCUAACUCUGUGCCAGCCGCCGCGGUAA